rnacentral:lncRNA from 1 species
AUGAGGGAUUGAGGGGCAACGAUGGGUUGGAGCUGUUGGGGCGGCACGGCGUGCGACGUGGGAGUUGUGCGUCAGCAAGGGCGAGGGGCAGGGCGAGGAGCAGUCGGCAUCGGCAAGGGCGAGGGCGAGGGUGACGGCGGAUGGUGACGACACAGGGACAUCGAUCCACCUCCGCCGCAAAGAUGCCGCGCGCCGAAGCAGGGCGAGGAGUAGCCGUCGCCGGCGGUGGCGAGGGCGCAGGGGCGGUGGUUCCUUAGAGCAAGAUGAGCUGCGGAGCUGGGCGUCAUGUGCGGGCCGCGGCGGCGUGCGUGGGCGGAGGUUCUCGAGCGGAGCAAGGGCUGCAGUUCCCGUUUUUUUAGAUCUGAGAGGGGGGCGACCGAGGGGUGCAGGGGGGCGGGGGCGAUACCGCGGGAGGGGGGCGAUAACUGCUCGGAGACGAUGACCUUCGGGUCUUUUUAGUUGUAGAGAUAAGAAGGGAGUGAUAUUACGAGUGUGUUUGGUUGACCUACAAACCUAACAUUUUGCUUGGAUGGGCCAGAUUUGGUCUAUUUGAUUGUCUGGUCAGCCUCUAGAGCCAGGCUCCAUUUGGCCUUGAGUACAGCCUUAGUCCGAUCCAGAUUCUCUAACUUUGUGAACAAAAGUCACAGGUGACUUUCUUGCUGUUGGAUGCCAUUCAUUUAGAAUCCAACGGUGGCUGUCCAUCUUAGUUCUUUCACUGCAGGGCUGUCCAGCCCAAACUUGAAACCAGCCCAAAUAAAACCCACUUCGUGGCCAGGGGAAACCUACAGAGUUUCAGUAUACUGUUAUUUUAGUGCAGAAUUAAAAUAGGAUUCACUUGAAUAUUUUGAAUAGUUUCAUGGUAAUAAAUAACUUCCAUCAAUAGUCAUCACUACAACAUAUAAAUGUGUACAGUUAGCCAAGAAACUAUGAAGGCUAAAAGAACCAAAAUAAUCUCCAUUCAAGCAAUCCAUUAGCACAAAGGUGCUGAACAAUCAUCCCAAAAGACAGAAAUAUUCCAUAUGUGAUAGCAGCUAAUAAAUCAAAGAUCUAAAAAAAGAUCUUGAACAGCCGGGUCAGCUGCAAAACCAAAUGAGCAGUUAGAAAAGAGAAGACAAAUAUUGACACUAGCUCUUCAAAAUUUAAGACGAGCAAUAUUAAAAGCACCAUUAUCAAAUCUGUGAAGCCGGUGAAUGCAAAGGAAUUUUGGUCCUGAUGAACACUAUCCGAUAACACUUGAGUUUGUGCAUCACCAUCAUUGGCUUCAUGCUGCAUGAAACAUAUAAUCUUGUGUUUAGCAAGCAAAAGCAGUAAAUUUCGACACCUAUUGCAAGUUUUCAGCAACAUACAUUACAAUUAUCUGGCGCUUUCUUUCUGUACUUUCUUGUCUUGUCAAGCCAACUUCUAUGACGCUUUGAACUUCUUGGUUGAACCUCUUUUUUCUUUAAGCGUGCAUCACUAAGCAAUUCUUCAUCUUGUUGAAUGUUAGGCUGGGCAUUAUACGUAUCACACAAGAUACGUGUAGGUGCACUGAAUUUGUCAUGUAGUUGUUUACUAAGGCAAUCAAGUGCAUUGUCUACCAAAAUGCAACAUUCUGGAUCGCUUGCAGCUGGAUAUGCCAAAUUCAAAAAAAAUUUAGACAUAACCUUGUAGCGAAGCAUAGCAUCUAACUUUGGGUCUUCAAUAAUGCUCUUCCCUGUGUUGUCUUGGAUAGUUCCAUACUUUGCUUCCCUUGUCCAACGCUUCAGCACAUAAUGAUUAGGCAAGAACUUGAUGUUCAUCAAGUCAAGAAUUUUCAAAGCAUGGCUACAUAAUACACCGGUUCUUGCAAACUGCCCACAAUUACAAGAAGCUGUUUGCUCCAAGGGAUCACCAACAACUACACGUUCUAUUUCAGAACUGAAAUCACCAUCAGACCUUACAAUUGCAAUAGCAUAUGUGUUAUUUUCUUCCAAUGCUCUAGUACAAGCAGCCAUGGAUCUUUCAUAUUCAGUUUGGAAUGCUUCAAAUAUUGGUGGAGUGUAAAGUCCACUAGUUUGCACUAACAUAGGUGUCCUCAUUCUUAAUCUAGGUAGCUUUUUCUGGCUUCAAAUUCUUCUUCUAAUUCCUUGUUUCUUUUUCCUUGCACCGCCCUCUCAAAAUGCUUUAGGAACCUGAUGAUGUCAAAAUCUGAUUUGAGAUGGUCUUUUAAAUACCUCCUGAAUAGCAUUUCCCAUUGCUGUAUCUUGGUCAGUAAAUAUAGUUCUAGGUUGCUUUUCAUUGUGUGCAGUUAGAAAUGCCUUAAAUAACCAUGUAAAAGAGGCACAUGUUUCAUCAAAUAGAAGGGCGGCUCCAAAAAUGACAGUCUCCCUAAACUGAUUGAAGCCAACAAAAACACCAAAAGGCAUGUAUUCUUUGUUUGUGCCAAAAGUAGUGUCGAAUGUCACCACAUCACCAAAAUGAGCAUAAUCAACUAACAUCUUGGCAUCAGCCCAAAAUAUAUUGGUUUUGUGUUCUUCCGCAUCCAAUUGAACAGCAUAGUGGAAAGAAGGGUUCUCACACAUCUUGUCUUGGAAAUACUUUACAUGCUUCCUGCCUACCAUAUGCCGACUCCCUCUGGUGCCUACCCUACAAGUAAUUUUUGUGAUCCCGACAAGUGUAGCUAAGAUUUAUUCGUCCUCCAACUUGGCGACUAGCCAACUCAUGUGCCGCUUUCGGUCUAAUUCCAGAAUCAUCAGCUGCCUCAAUUUCAAAUGCUUGCACUUCUGAAAUUUUCCUCUGUGACGUCAUUAAAUGAGAGGUUUGUGGCAAGUGAAGCCCAUGGUUGUGUUGAAGAAUCAGAUCAAGUACUUCAUAAUUCCCUGUCACUCGAUCUAAUGUAAUACCCAUACGAACCGGACAACAUGUUCUUGUUUCAGCUCGAGGAUUUUUUGUCACAUGAUCUCUCCUGUCUCGUGCUCGACAGCCUUCCUUGGCACACACAUAUCUACACGAAGUUAAUCUUUUAUCAGAUUUGCUUUCAUUUGAAUACCGUUUUCUCUGACCUCAAAACCUGCAUGACCCCCGUAAUCUACCCAAAAUGACCAAGCAUCAUCCAAGUUUCUAAAUUUCUGACCAAUAUGAGGUACCCAAAUUGGAGUUGCAUUCUCUCUGUAUACAAAUACAUGGUCAUUGGCUCAUUGCUACACGUCUAGAAGCAAAGAGGAAAAAAUUGAAUGCAACCAUUACUUACUUGUUGGGUUCUGCCAUUAGUAUCACAGGAAGGAAGAACAAAAUGAGAAGCCGAUCAUCAACCAGUUCGCAACUUCACGGCAAGCGCGUCAAUCACCACUUCGCCAAUCGCGGCACCCUCACAUGGUAGCUUCACGAGGAUGUCGCUCCAUGGCGUGAUGAUUCCGGCUGGCGCGACAAGCGGAGUAGACGCAAGGGCAAAGGCGAGCGCGACCUGGCGGCGGCGGCGGCAACGCAGACGCGGCAAAAACCUUCGCUCGAUGAUUUUUGGCGCCUAAAGCAGUCACUGAGCGGCAAAAUAGGUUCCCUCAGCCACAACAUGGGCCUUACUUGGACUGCUUUCUAUGUUUGGGCUGGGCAGGCUGAGAGUGGGAAAGCUGAGAUGCGCAGUCAUCGUUGGAUCGCAAAUGGACGGCAUCAGGUAUAGAGAAAGUCACCUGUGACUUUUCUGAAGGAAGUCAGAGAAUCUGGAUUGGCCUUAGUCAAGCCCAACUAGAAACACCAACCUGGAGCCAGACUCCAACUCCUUCUCCCCCGCCAGUGAUCCCCUAUCAGCGGCGAUGCUUCUCCUUCUCCCCCUUGGCGCUCCUCCUCCUUCUCUCCCGCUGAUGUUCCUCCUCCUCCCUCGUUGGCGCUCCUCCUCCUUUCUCUCGUUGAUGCUCCUCCCCUUCUCCCACCGUCGCCAUCACCGGGAAGGCGCGUGUGGCAUGGUCGACCACGGCCAAAAUGAAGUGUGUUUUGUGCCGCUCCUGUCCUCCUUUGUGAUGCGGCCCUUCUCCAGCUUCUCUUGGACCUGACAUGGCGCCACCGGCGAAGUGGUGCGCGAUAGUGCCACCGGCCAAGUCACCCGACAUGAAGACCCGACCGAGAUCCAUGGCCUCGGCAUCCCACUGGUCCCCGCUGGUCUACUUCGCUUGCGAAACAAACCGCAUGACCAACAUCGCGACAUCGUUGAUGGUGGUGGUGAGGACUGUAACGUCAUCGAGGCCCACGAGCGGCAUGACAAACUGCGGUUUUGACCAUGGCUUGUUCCCUCUGCUCUCUUUGCCCGUCUUAAGGUGUUCGAUGAAUUGCUUUAAAGAAGUAAAGUUACCUGUACAAAAAAAGAGGUGCCUCUAUCUAAGCUAAAUCAGCUAACCAAACAAAUUAGUUAUUAGCUAGGCUUAGGUAGUGUAGGCAACCAAAUAAGUUUAUCUUAACUUGUUGGAGAUAGACUUAAAUUAGGUUGGUAGAAAUUGGUUAUGAAACCAAACACACUCUAUUAGAUUGGAGAGGAUCCUAGGACCGAUUUUUUUUAAAAUUACCGCAACAGUAACUGGUGCUGACGUGAGGUGGCCUGAGUGUGGGGUUUUUACUCUUAUAUAUAUAUAUUAAUUAAGAGCGCUAAGCUCGGCAGGAGAACGGCCAUCCCACGUGUCCUAUACGACGUCCGAGACCGGUGAGCGCAAAAAAAAGCAGCGCUCUUCCCUGCGUGGGUUGCCUCUGUGUGGUUCAUACAUCAGCGGCGCGUGCCGUCAUCUGGUUGGCCCGACCCGUUUCUCGUUCGCUCCGGCCGUCGUCGUCUCGGGCCUUGUUUCCAAAAUUUUUUGCAAAACAGGUGUAGCACUUUCGUUUGUAUUUGACAAAUAUUGUCCAAUCAUGCACUAACUAGACUCAAAAGAUUUGUCUCAUCAAUUUCGACCAAACUAUGCAAUUAGUUUUUAUUUUCGUCUAUAUUUAAUACUCUAUGCAUACGUUUAAAGAUUCGAUGUGACGAAAAAUCUGAAAAAUUUUAUAAAUUUUUUUGAAAAGUAAACAAGGCCUCGGUCAUUCUCUCUUCCUCUCCGCCUCUCUCUUUCUCUCUCCCUCCCUUCCUCCAGUUUUGGCAGCGCUCUGUAACUCCCUCCCUCCCUCCUCCCUCCAGAUCUACCGACGCAAUGGCUGACCCAUGCACAGCGGCACAGUGGAUCUAGCGGCUCCAGUGCCUCCAUAGACGUAUCUGUCCCUCCUCCCCUCGGGUAUGUGCACAGCGAAGCAGGCCAAAUUAAUAAGAACCUACGGAAGCGAGCAGCAAAAGCGCAUGUUCAGUCUAAUUAUGCCUUGUGUUAUUUAAAAUAAGGUCUUGUUUAGUUCCUUUUCAAAAAAAUUUCGGGACUUAUAGCAUUUUAUUUGUAUUUGAAAAUUAUUGUUUAAUUAUGGAUUAACUAGGCUCAACAGAUUUGUCUCGUAAAUUACAGAUAAAUUAUAUUAUUAGUUUUUAAUUUUGUCUACAUUUAAUGUCGUAUAUGUCUAAACAUUCGAUGCGAUGGCUUUGUAACUGUUCAGUUUAACUGUUAUUUAUUUAUUUAUUGAGACAUUAGCAAUAUUAGUUUUUGAUGGCGCCUCGUGUAGUUUCCGCGGGGCAAAUUUUGUUCGAACUGGGAUUAGAAAUAAUAGCAGCAUACAUACUCUACACAGUAAGCAGGCGAAAGAGCCUAGCACAAGCAAAAAAUCAACAGGAGCUCAAAUAAGUGAAGCAAAUCAGGCCUUGUUUAGUUCACUCUGAAAACCAAAAAGUUUUCAAGAUUCUCCGUCACAUCGAAUCUUGUGGCACAUGCAUGAAACAUUAAAUAUAGACGAAAACAAAAACUAAUUACACAGUUUAGCUGGAAAUCACGAGACGAAUCUUUUGAUCCUAGUUAGUCCAUGAUUGGAUAAUAUUUAUCACAAACAAACGAAAGUGCUACAGUUCCGAAAAGUUUUCACUUUUCGGAACUAAACAAGGCCUCAGAAGGAACGUGUGAGAGGAUGAAGCUCCUGUGACAAGAUGCAUGGAAAGCGAUCGAUGGAGGAGUCAGAGUUGGAAUGACAGUCACCAUAUUGAUCCGCCAUCGACACGGACAGUAUGACUGGGCGUCAGUAGUGUGAUUAUCGUCAUUCUCCUCUCUUUGGUCACUACCAAUGCAUGCAAGAGCAACACUUCAUUUCAUCAACCAGGCAAAAACAAAGGCAAGAAUUAACCCAGCGCGGAUAAGCAGAGGAAGCGCAGACUGCAGAGCACAGAAGGGACGGCUCCAAUUUUGUCAGAAGGGAGUGAUGAGCAAUAGCUGCUCAAGAAGAGGGAUAUACUAGGAGAAAACCAGGAACAAAAAAGGGUGGGCAUGCAGAGAGUCAUCAGAUCUGGACACUGUCAAUCAGCAGUACAUGAGUCAUAUGGUCAUGAUAAAUCAUCAUCACCAUCAUCGUCAGAACUGUCCUGCCCCAAACUCAAAAUUCAACAACAGCAACAAAGAGGAAGAAAAGAGCACAAGAUCGAUGACACCAAGAAAAUCGAGACAUGAUCGAGUAGGUGAAAAAUCAACAGCAACUAAUUUGACAAGGAGUUGUUUCUCCUAAAAGACCUGAACUUGAAUAAAGAAGCAGACCCUAAUGAAUGAACACUCUUGAUUCGUGUGAGGCGUAUAUAUGAGGAGUUGGGGGGGGGGGGGGGGGGGGGGCAUUUUAUUUCAUUAUUUCUCUAUGAGCGCACGGUCACGGUCACUUGGCAGAACUCUCUGGAAGGUUGAAAAGCGGCAGUCGGAAUCGUCACACUUCUAGAUGACACGUGCCCAUGCCCGUGCCCGCUCGAAGCAUCCGUAUACUACGGAUGAAUCUCCUCUGAAUUGAUACACGAUCCAAGAUAUCAAUCUCUUUUCGUCCCUCAAAAACUAGCCAAAAAUUUAGCAUGCAAAAAUUGACAAAUUUUUUUUUGACAUAGAUUUGGUAAGUCAAUAAAGCAAGUUUUAGUAGCAAACAAAUUACAGCCAAAAUUAUGACUUGUUAAAUCUUUCACUUGGCACAUAUUUGAAAGCCACGUCAAAUGUUACAAACAAAAUGUUAGUAUUUAUGCAUGUUCAAAGACUAUAUAAUAAUUUAAGAUCGACAGUGAGUUAAGCCAAAGAUUAUACGAUUUAAAGUAACAAUUAGUUAAGUUAUAUGCAUAUUCGGAUAUGAAAAUCGCAUCAAAUAGAUCGGAAUUCAAAAUACUUUAAAGAUGAUAUACUUUUUUUUUGUGAGGAACUUUAAAGAUGAUAUUGACUAGUAACAACAAACAAUGGCAAUUUCAGGGUCACAUGCAUGUAUACCGAACGUGUUUCAGGAACUUUUCUUGCGUAGGAAAGCGAUCAAUUAAAUUCGAAGUAGAGAUGACUUAUUGAUUUAUUUAUUAGAUCGUGUAUAGCUUAGUUAUUGAUUUAUUUGUAUUUAACAAGAAUAAAUCUAAAUAAAAUCUAUAACUAAGUUAUAUAUGAUCCAAUGAGUAUGAAAUUUUCAUUAUAGUUUAAACAUACAAUAAUUAACCUAUAAUAAAAAUUUUACCACAAUUGGAUCAUAGAAACUAGAGUUAUGAAUUAUUCUAUUUAAUUAUGAAAAAUGUAGAUCUAAAUCUAUAACAUAUUACAUGUUCACUAUGUAGACAUACUCUUGUGAAGUUCAAUAAAAUUAGAUUUUUUUUUAUUAUUUACUAUGAUUUUUCAAAGUUUCAGUUAGAAUAAAUAAAUAAAAACAAAACCGGCUUCAAAACCCCUUAUAACAAGAACAAGAAGGUAAGAUGAACCGUUUUAAAAAUUAUUGGAGAUGUUUUAUCUAGUUUUAGAGUUUAAGGAUAAAAAGUGAAUUUUCACGACAAUUAAGGGACGUGGACUUUUUCCAAAAUGUUGGCUUGUCGCCGAGCGCGUUUUGUCCUGUCUAGCCUUCGUCGUGCUGCUUCAUAUUGGGCCACGGGCUAGUUUUGGCGGAGAGUUGUUUGGGCUUCACUGCGAAUUUGCGAUGCUUCCUAUUAGGCCAUGGGCCAUGUUUCUCUGUUGCCUUGCUGUGGGGAAGUUCUGCCCUUAGCAGCCGGAGAACAGGAACAUAAUCAUGUUCCUAUUUUCAUGUUCCAUAUUGCGUUUCUAGAACACGAAUGUUCCCAUUCCCACAUUAUAAAAUAAUACCCCAAAUUUCCAUUCCCAUUCCAAAAACGGGAACAUGGCUGCUAUGGUUCUGCCGCUAUGCAUUUUUGCCUUUUUUUUUUUCUUCAAAAUACUCCAUUAACGCCAUGACACUGUCUCCUACUACUGUAUAAGAUGAAUGGAAAAAGUUGCAGAAAUGAAUAAUAAAAGGGUGUUGUUUAAAUCCUGACAAACUCCUGUGAACACCAUUAUUUCUAAACACGACUAAUUAUGACUAGUAGUAUAUUCAUUCUUCAACGAAAUUUACACGAAAAAAGGUAGCACCGUAUGUUCCUUACAUACAAGAACCACAAAAAGAAACCACCAUUACACUGAUUUUGCGUUACGUCACAUAUAGCCUUCUUCGGCGGCACCAGUGCUCGAUCAGGCGAAGCAUAUGAUCACGAAGAGGAUUUCUAAACUCUCAGCCGGAGUGCGAUCAGAGAUGCACCGACCAUGGCCACGCACACCCUUCUUCCCAGAAGCAUCACCGAGGAAGCUGCUGCAGAAGUCCUGCACCACCCAAACAGAAUUCAUCAGUCGCACGAAUCAUGGAUUACCACAAGCGAGAGGGCAUUUGCAUGCAAGGGACAAAAAUUUGCAGUGGGUCAGGUGGUUUCACUUACUCAGAUGCCAAGAACUUGCACGAUCCAAAACCUGCCAAGAACACGCAUCAGAUCAUUGGACAAUGCAUCAGAUCACUGGACAGGUGCCCAAAAACCAGCAGUGAUGGAUGGGGAUGGAAAUGCAUGUUUCGUACUUGGGUCCCGCUUGACGAGGGCUCCGGCGCCGCCGAAGUUGCAGGCGAUGUCGGAGUUGCCGUUCUGCUGGUAGAAGAUGUUGAAGGCGUAGGAGGCGUGGGUGAGGAGCGUGUUCGGCUGGUAGCACCGCCCGCCCGGCUGCAGCUGGGAGCAGUCGGCGCCGCCGGGGCCGCACGCCCAGUCCAGCGCGUUCUGGAGGUCCUCCUGGGUUGCGCCUGGCCGGGCCACGCACCACGUCACGCCGUCGAUGAACGUCAUGUUGCCCUCCGGUGGCGACAGUGUCGGGAUCGGCGUCACGGACUCUGCCUUUUCCUGUGGUGUGAAGCGUCCGGCGGCUGCAGAGGCUGAACACACAAGGAAGGGCAGAGUUAUGAUGAACUUAGAGAACAGAGACUAUGACUCUGUGAUCAAAUCAAACAGUCUGAAUAUUUACAGCUAAACAGGAUUUUUAUGGAUACGACCACUGAGGCAUUGACCAUAUAAAAAUGCUAAUUAUCAGAUCAUGCAUGUACAGUUUGCAUUGUCAGGUAAUAAUAAGCUACUGAUAGAUGUACAUGAACACACUCUGAAUCCUUAGCACAUGAGAAAUAUGACUGAAAAGAAGCAAGCAAAGAACAGGGUUGUAAUACCAGUAUGUUACCAACCUAUGAACCAACCAAGAAUCAGAACGCCGUGCAUGAUCAUCAGCUCCUUUCUCUUCAUGGCUGAAGCAGAAGUUACAGAACCGCAAGACUGUCCCUGCUUUUCACUCGGCCCUCCUUCCUCCCCCGUGUGUGUGAGUGCCUUAGGGAAUAUAACGGGAGUAUGAGUGAAGAGCAGAUGUAGUGACAGUAAAGCAGUCACUGUUCAUGGGAAAGGGCUGGAUUUCACUAGGGUCACUAAGCAAGACGUGCACACGGAAAGCACCCCCAGGGUGCUCGCUAUGGUGCAUAUUUAUGGCCACCACAGGGAGGUGGCAUGGAAAGUGGCACAAAGGGCCAUUGUGCAGAGAGAUGCAUUUUGCAUCUAACAGAGGACCAGUCUAUUGGAACAUCAGCCUAUUUGGUCUCAGUUUGACUAACAUGACUAUAAUUAACACAAUUUACUACUAGCAUUUUAUGCUUUUCCCAUUGAAUAAGAAGAAAUUAGAGAGCUUUACCAUACUUAAAAUGCAUGCAUGCAGAUGGUUUACUACGGUGGUAAUGCUGCUAUCAUCCCCCCCCCCCCCCCCCCACCAAAAAAAAAAAAAGGUGGUAGUACUGCAGUUCUUGCAGCAUGCCUGAAGCAAGGUAAGCUGUAAAGGACUAUAUCAGCAUCUCAGUUCUUAGAUUGUGCAACUAGUACAACGACCUUUAUGAAUACACUAUUAUAUUGAGGGGAAUGACUUGAAUGCCAGGAAACCAUGAGAUUCUUAUCCUGAUAUGCAUGCAUGGGCAUGAUUUCUGAAGGGACAAAAGGAAACGCAGGCAGCAGAUUCCAUGAGAUGUGAAGGGGCCAAGUGCAUGUUCUCAUUCCUUUUCUUUGUUGUUUCAUGGUAGCAUAGGUUGGAGCUUAAUGAGGAAGAGCUUUCCUUGUGUAUUAAGGGAAGAACCUUCACUUUCCAAAGACUGAAGCCUAAUGAAGGGGUUUCUGUGAACCAGAUUGCAAGGACCCAAGGAAAAAGCUAAGAAUUUUUUUCCUUGUGCUGCACUGGGGAACAAAACAGGAAUUCUGAAAUAGAAUGAUGAACGAUGAUGACAUGUCGGUGGUGCUGAAAAAAAUUCCAAAAAUAAUAUAAAGGACAGGGAAGUAGUUCAGUAAGGGAAAUAACCUUUACAAAGGCUGAAGCCUAAUGAAGGUGGUUCUGUGAACAGGAUUACAAGGGAAAAAUUAAAUCUUUUUUUCUGCCUGAGUUGCACCUCGAAUUAAACAGGCAUUCUGAAAACAUCAGUGGCAAUCUCAAUGAGCUGAAACAGCUGAAAUAAAGCAACAUCCAUUAAACAAGGUUAAAGAGGGUGUAUAUACUAAGCUAAACUUUGGUGCAUGGUGUCAUGAAGAAAGCAGUUAUAUUCUAGCCUUGCUCUCUAGAAGCUUUAGAAGGUUGUAAGGGACCCAUCAGUCUUGCAUUGAUGUGUAGCAAAAAGUUGCAAAAGCAUGGUCUGAUCAUUUCAUGCAGACCUACUAUCAGGAUUCAGAUCUGUAUCAAGCAGGUGGACACAUGCAAACAUUUAUGUUUAUUUAUUUAUCAAAGCAAGGGAAACUAGCGAGUACCUCUUUCGACCAGAGUCGAACUUAUUAUGACUGGAACAUAAUUUAUUGAAUGAAAUGAAUAAAACAGAAUCGAAAUUAUUAUUUGCUGUAUCAUCUACAAUUUUACAAGGUAGGGAAUUAUGAUAAAAAUACAGUUCUAACCUAGUUCUUGCUGUAUCUGAAAACAUCUUUCAUUUGAAAAAUUUAAGAGCUGGGAUGUGACAAUACAACCUAUAGAAUAUGAGGCUGUCUCAGCAUUGCCCCUCCAGUGUAACAGUCAACAGAAAUUGGAUGCCGGGGUUGAACCCAGAUAUGACUUUGCUACUCCUGAACUCAGCGCAACUUUUCUGAUCAUAGGACAGUCAAUCCAUACGCUGAUCAACUACCAAUAAUCUUUACAUGAACAAGAUCCACCUUUGAAAUGGUGAAACCUACUGCGGUCCCUCACAAUGAUCUCCCGAUCAUAAAUCUUUGAUAUUAGCUUAAUUGCAGUAUGACAGUCCCCACACACCCUCAAAUUCUUCACGAUCCUGAUAGGAGUACCAGGAAGAGACUUCAACAAGGCAAAUGCAAUGGCCAACCUCUCACUAUGGUAGUUCAAGGCAGUCUCUUUCUCUUCCUCCUCUAUAUCUGCCAACACAUUGCUUGUACGUGGGAUGUAACCUUCACGUCUCAAGCUAUCAGCUACCUCAGCAAGCAUUUGGUAUAUCUGUUCACUCUCAGGAUGAGACCUAUCACCCAUAACAAACUCAUACACAGAGUUGCGGAGCUCCACAAGGCUGCGCCCAGGGUUCUUCCUCACUCCAUCCUUCACCAUUGUUUUCCUAAGCACGUGAACGUCAGCCCAUCUCCCAACAGCAGCAUAAAGAUUUGAGAGGAGAACAUAGUCUCCACUAUGCCCUGGAUCAAGCUCAACCAGCCGUGCCCAAGCAGCCUCCCCAAGUUCCAACUUCUUGUGCAUUGCACACGCACCCAACAAGGUUCUCCACACGACGGCAUUUGGUUCCAGUGGCAUGGUGAGAAUAUAAUCAUAUGCUUCCUUGACUUUACCAGCUCUCCCUAAUAGAUCUACCAUGCAUCCCAAAUGCUCAAUCCUUGGUGCAAUGUUGUACUCCUCUUUCAUCCUAUUAAAAUACAUAAACCCAUCAUCAACCAGUCCACAGUGGCUGCAAGCAUACAGCACUCCUACCAUAGUGAUUUCAGUCGGCACAAGCUUCUCCCUCUCCAUUAUACCAAACAGCUCAAGUGCUUCCUUCCCAAAACCAUUCACUGCCAAGCCCACAAUCAACGACGUCCAUGAGACAACAGUUCGCCUAGCUCCCAUCUCCUCAAAGACCCUCCUUGCAUCCUCAACACCUCCACACUUGGCAUACAAAUCAAUUAGGGCGUUACCAACAUGUGAGUUUUCUACCAACCCAACCUUUGUCAGAUAAACAUGGACCCUCCUACCAAGAGCCAGUGCGCCAAUUUCAGCAGAUGCUGUCAGCACGCUCACCACAGUGAAUCCAUCCGGCAUGAAGUUCACGUCCAACAUCUCCCGGAAGAUGGUGAGAACCUCGUUGGGGCGUCCAUUGGCCGCGAACCCGUUGAGCAUCGAGUUCCAGGAGACGAGGUUGCGCUCACCGACGGGUAUUUCGUCGAACACCCUGUGCGCGCUCUCGAAGAGGCCGCAUGCACCAUAGAGGUGAACCAGCGAGUUCUUGACGAAGACGAGCGUGGCAAGGCCGUUCUUGGCGGCCUCGGCGUGGAUGCGCUCCCCGUGGCGGAGCGACAGGAGGCGCGCGCACGCCUGCAGGAGCGGCGGGUAGGUGUGCGUGUCCGGCGGCGCGAGGCGUCGGGCGUGGAGCGCGAGCGCGAGGGAAGGCCGCGAAGAGGACGCGGCGAUGCGGAGCACGGUGUUGAGGGAGAACGGGUCCGGGUCGGGGAGGACGCGGGUGAGCACCGCGACGGCGUAGCGGAGGGGAGGGGCGCGGAGGGAGGCGAGGUGGAAGAGGAGGUGCUUGGCGAGGAGCGGGUGCGCGGGCGGCACGCCCGCACGGAGGGCGCGCGCGUGCAGCUGCUUGACGGUGGCAAGGGAGGGCGCGGCGAGGUGGAGGCGGAGGAGCGCGACGCAGUGGCGCAGCGCCGGGUGCGUCGACGGCGUCCGGCCACCGGCGCCGUCAAGCAUGAGGCGCGCUCGGCUUCCGUGCGGUUUCGCCGUUUCGGAAGGAAAGGCGCGAUGAGCUGCUGCGUGUUCACGUAACACUGUCGCGGACGAUCCCAGUUGGUUGAUCAGUUUUUCAAAUCGGACCCUUUAUUUCUUUCGAACGAUUUUGAACUCUGAAAUUGGAGGCCGAAUUUUUUUUAAAAAAAAGUGCUCAUAAAUUCCUACAAGUCUAAAAACGAUAUUGUAUCACUUUCGUUUUUAUUUGACAAACAUUGUCUAAUCAAGGAGUAACUAAGCUUAAAAGAUUCGUCUCACGAUUUACAGUCAAACUGUGUAAUUAGUUUUUAUUUUUAUUUAUAUUUAAUGUUUUAUGCGUGUACCGCAAGAUUCGAUGUGACAGAUAAUCUUAAAAAAGAUUUUGGUUUUUUGGGUCAACCAAACAAGGCCUAAGUAAAGACAGAUUUUACCAGCACGGCGAACUUUGUCACGGGGUGACAGACUGACAGGGCAAACAAAAAAAACACCCAAAUAUAUUUGUGUAUAUUUGGCGCAGGUCCAGUUUGGUGUCCAGCAGCAAAUGAACAUUCAACAAAAUGAUAUAAGAUCUAUAACUGGCAUUGCUUGCGUUUUGGUAAUGCAAGUUUUAUUUCUAAAUUCUCAUGGACAUCAGAGAAUCAAACAAACAGCACCGUAUUGCUCCAGGGGAAAAAACCUGCACGGGUGCAAGUACCAGCAGAACAGGACACUGGUACUGCAACUACUUAACUGAAUAUAAAGGCAAUCAACCAAGAUCGAUAGACAGCCCACUCGAAAGUAUGAACUUCAUCAACAGCUUACAAUAAUAUAUGAGCAGUUCUGUUAAAUGGAAUCACAGAGCAUCAGGCAAACCGAUUCACAGUUAUCCUACACAACAACACAGCAUAGUCUACAGUAAACACACGCGCAUGGAUAGAAACGAAGACAAACUUAGAACCCGCUAAUAUCCACAGCAGCUACCAGAACCUACAAGUCCACACAUGUUCAGCAGACAAAUAGCUCGAGCAUAUGUACAUUUCACAUCAGAUUCCUAUCCUGAAACUCAGGUUCAGAGGGUUCACGUGGAAGCAUGGAAAUUCACCAGAAAUCCUGCAUGAACUUGAGUACUUGACGACAGGUGUGCAGAAUUUCUUCGGUCUUUUCCGACAGUCUAGAUUGCACAGCUAAACAGAUGGGGCUCUGGAGGUUUUGUGUGACUGAGCAUCCUCAAAUGCGUCCAAAUCUUCAAGUUUUUCAGGCUUCAAGCACGGAGGUAUGUAUGAGGUAUAGAUGGUUUCCAUGUUUGGAGUUUCCUUCAGGUCGUGCUGUGCCACCACCUCCAGAGGAGUCUUGGCAAAUGCUGGGUAAAAGCGCAUAUGGCAGACAUAGGCGAAGAUGAUGCUUAUUGGAAGCAGGGGCACAAGAACAGGUACAUAGUAAAACUUUUUCAGGGGGAUGAAGCCGAUCAUGGUAGUCUGGUAAACCAUCAGAGCUGUGAUGAUCCUCGUGUGCAUGUGUGGCCACAUUCGUCCGUAGCUCUCGUAGCUCGGAACAUAAACUCUCAGAAUCUGCAUCGGAAAAGGUGGAGAAAUCAAUCAUCAACUUCACCAAAGAACCAAUUAACAAAACGAGACCCUCUAGUGGAAGAAAAAUUCCCCAAAAUAGAAUAGAAAUUACAGUACUAACAAACCGAGUACCAAAGUGUGCAACACUGAAAAGCCGUACUCCUGUGAAACAAAAUGACCACUCACCUGAUUUUUUGCUAUAAGCCACCCAAGGGCAAAGUAUGCAACACCGAAUGGUAUAAUCAAAGGUGCAAUGACUGAGUAGCACAGAACAACUGUUGCAAUGAGCAUGUCAUUUGGGACCCUGGUGUUAUAUCCCAGAUCUCCUGGAGCCCAUGCUGCUUUCACAUCCUCCUCCGUCUUGCAUAGGUACUUCCUUUUCAGAUGGAAAAUGAUGAGGGGAACCAAGCGAGAGAGCUCAAGCCCAUAGCCAACAAAGAAUCUGUCAACAGUCAAAUAGUUAUGGUGUAAAGUUGCCGUCAAACUCAAAGAUGGUAAGAUUGAAAAUUUGGCAGUAGGUAACUGAAAAAGUGAGACAAAUGAAUUACUUCAGCGCAACAAAUGUGAGGAAGAACGUUGCACUUCCAGGCAGGCUAUUGGCAAGCAUAGUCACAAUCCCAGCAGGGUGAUCGAUAAUGGUUGUCAAAGACUUGAACAAUGUGCUUCCGAGUGUAUAACCAAGGAAGACAUUGAAAACAAUGAAAUAGAAAUAUUUUCCUGAUGCUGCCCUGACUGCAUGGCUCUGCGAAGGGAUCCCCUCUUGUUUUGAGAGAAACAUAAGAAGAGUAGGUAGCAAAGCCAGAAACACAAUGAGCACAAUCUGGGGAAGGUAAGCCUCCAAGACCGUCUUGAUUGCUGGUUUUUCCACCACUACCUUCAGGAAGGGCAGCUUCUUCUCCAGGUUUUCCAGAGUUGUAACAGCAGAGAUAGCAGCAAUAGGAACCAUAUAGAAAACAACAACCAGAAAGACAAUAGCAUAGACCACUGACUGUCUGAUUUGCCUCUCAUAUAGAUUCCUCGGAAGGUUGGGCCAUAGUAUCUGACAUGGUUCAGGAGCUUCCAUAACUGUCCAUUUAUCAUACACCUGAGCAUGGAGAGUCUGAGAUGCAGAAGCUGCGGCAGAUCUACUAUUGAAGAUGACAAUGGCAGCCCGCUGCUGUUUCUCAUGAAGGGUAGUCUUCUGUUCAGCCUCCAGUUUCGGCAGUAAUUCCUUAAUCUGCUCACUACAGUAUUCAAUUGUGUCAACCUUUUUACCAAUAAGACCAAGGAAUCCAGUCCUAUGAGUAGGCUUUGUGCCCUCAGGAUUACUUUCAGUUUUUGAGUUUGCAUAUAUGGCUUCAGCACGAGCAAUUUUCUGCUUGUGACCUUCGAUCUCUUGGUAUAUUUUAUCAGCCUGCAAUGCAAUGUGAUCAAAAUAGAAUAAACUUCUGUUUCUUUUUCUGUGGGAGUAUUUUUAGACAUGUCUUACAAGCAGACAUGAAAAACAUAACAAAAGGACAACGGGGAAGCAAUCCCUCCCUCUCUCUCUCUCUCUCUAUAUAUAUAUAUAUAUAUAUAUAUAUAUAUAUAUAUAUAUAUAUAGGAGUACGGAAAAUGCAUCAUAUAUAUAGUUUCAACAGUGGAAGUACCUUUGUGUGAUCUGUCACAACCAUUGAUCUGUAGAAAGUAUUUGGGUGAAGUGCUCGGAAAUAUGAGUCAACAAAGUCUUUUAUAGUUUCAUCUGGAGAUGAUCUAGGGAUAUCUCUCACCAACACCGCAAACUCCUCUGGUUUAACAUCUGGUGUUGACCUUGCAGUAGCUCUCAAAUUUGACACAUGCUUGUAGGAUUUCCAUAGGACGAAAUAGGUGACAAAGGAAACCCAAUAGACUGACAAAAGAAAUGCCCACAGCCUCAUACUUCCUUCCUGCAGAGGUUGUAAAGACAUGCAGAGAUCAGUUGUACUGUGAAUAAAACCACAUUCAAGACACUGGACACCUAAUAAUUAACAUAACCUUAUUGACACUUUUUCAUUGCAAACACGAGUUAGGCCUGGUUUAGUUCCCAAAAAAUUCAAGAUUCUCUGUCACAUCGAAUCUUUAGAUGCUUGCGUGAAGCAUUGAAUAUAGACAAAAACAAAAACUAAUUGCACAGUUUGCCUGUAAUUUACGAGACGAAUCUUUUGAGCCUAGCUAGUCCGUGAUUGGAUAAUAAUUGUCAAAUACAAACGAAAGUGCUACAGUAGGUAAAGCAAAAAAAUUUCGUGAACUAAACGAGACCUUACUGCAGAUAUUAAUGGUCCCAAGACAAUUUCAAUCAAGCUUACGGUUUCUUUGAGUUUCCAAAUAUCGGUAACAUACAAUUGUAAUUUGAGAAAGUCUUGAGAAAAAUCAAUACAAGCCAGUUGUCCAUGAAACUGUAACUUUCUUUUCCAAGCAGACUUAACUUUUUCUUUUUGAACAAAAGGCAGGAGCUCUGCCAAUCAAUUAAGAAGUAGGGAUUUAAAACACAACAAGCUGAAACUAGUUUGGUACUGAUCUGAGGAAGAAUGAUCACAAAUGCUCAGAUUCACUUCGACAUAAAAAAUAUAGAUGGGCCUCAUAAAAGAGUAAGUAGCAAGGAGAUUCUGUUACAAGUUGCUUUUUUUUGUUACUGAAAACGAAGUAACAACUACAAUUAGGAUGUUCAAGAGGUGAUGAACACUUAUUAAAUUGGUGCAUUUGCUCAUGUAAAUAAUUACAGCUAUGAUUAUGUGAUUAAUGACCUAGUAAUGAUAUGGUCUAGAUCAUGCUGUGGAUUGAACCAAAUGCUUCCGGAUUCAUCCAGGUGGUUUGGUGAAAGGGCCAUCUCAAUAGGCCACAAUACCGAUGCUGUGUAAUUGGGAGCAUCCUGUACUUAUUUUAUGCAACUACGACAAACCAUUAAAAGAUUACACACUUGUGAAAAAUCGCUAAACGAUUACUUACAGGAACAUUGCCCACUCCUAGCCUUUCAAUCGCCGAGAAGUCCUGAGUCGAUUCAGAUGAAUUGUUGGGAUUGGGAGGGAUGCCAACUAGGGCACCACCAGUUGCAGCAACUGGGAGGAGAACUGGAAGCAGCACAAUCCCAGAGUACACCAAGAUCGACAGCACUGGAACAUAAGGACAAAAUUUUAAAAAAGGUCAGAUUUUGUUAAUAUUUGCAGAAAAUUCGUCCAAAAAAUCUACCAAACCCCAACCAACAAAAUAUGAAUCCUAACUAAUAUUUUUCAACCGCCUGUCUCUCCUGCAAAAAUACUAGUAUAUGAGGGAAAGCAUCAAAGCAUGAUUGGAAAAACAGAGGAAUGAAUGCAGGGGCACUAUUAUAACACCACAAAAUCACACGAGAACAAAUAACUAAAAAAAAUCUUGCAAAUAGUUUUUUUUCCUCUCUAGAGCAAGAUACUAGUAACUAGUAGUGCGUAGCCGACAAAAUUAACGAAGCGCGGAACCAAAUAAGCACUGCCAAUCACCACCUUUUUUUUAUUUGAAAAAAAAUCCCCCCGAGCAAAAGGGGAAAAGAGAAGCAAGAAAGGGGAAGUGAGCUUGAGCCUGAGCAGGCACAGGCAGUACCAGAGGAGAGGAAGACGAGGUAGACGGCGGCGUCGACCCCGCCGGCGGCGACGACGUCAGGCUCCGACGCGGAGAUGGCGUCGCGGAUCCACCCGACGGGGCUCCGCGUGCCGCGCCCGCGGCCCUCCCACGGGUCGACCCCGCGGAGGAGGAGGUUGGGGUAGUACACGGGCGCGUUCCCGGGGCGGCGCGACAGCCAGGUGAACACCAGCACCAGCGCCACGAAGAUGACGAACGACGUCAGCACGGACGUGAUGAACGACGCGAGGUCCAUCCCGGCGGCACCGUGCCCUUGCUCCUGUUCCUUGAGGUUGAGGCACGCGGCUGGCCGGGGGCACUCCGGGCUUUAAUAAGCUCCGGAGGCUGUGGUAAGCGGCCGGCGGGGUUGGGGAAGGUGGUUUAGUGGUGGCGGGAGUGGUUAGUGAGGGGCAUUAGGGUGGGGAUUAAGAAGGGAGGGAGGCGGGG